UACGUAGGGGGCUAGCGUUGUCCGGAAUCAUUGGGCGUAAAGCGCGCGUAGGCGGCCCGGUAAGUCCGUUGUGAAAGUCAAAGGCUCAACCUUUGAAAGCCGAUGGAUACUGCCGGGCUAGAGUCCGGAAGAGGCGAGUGGAAUUCCUGGUGUAGCGGUGAAAUGCGCAGAUAUCAGGAGGAACACCAAUGGCGAAGGCAGCUCGCUGGGACGGUACUGACGCUGAGACGCGAAAGCGUGGGGAGCAAACAGG
rnacentral:rRNA from 1 species